UUUUCUAACCUCAGUCAACUCAGCAGAAGCAUCAGGUGAUUCAUAUAAUGGUUUGAGUCAGUGUGAUCUGAUCCCGACAACUUAAAACCCUAAAACCCUUCGACACACAGAUUGGCAUCUCAGGAUUUUUGAGUACCUUUAAGGUUUAUACUGGCGAAGUAAAAAUGAUCUGGUUUCUCUUUUUCUGUUGGCUAGCAGGUGUUAGUCUGGGUCUAGAUGUCCGUCAGUCUUCCUCUGAACUCAUCACAACACCUGGAGACAAAGUGCAGAUUUUCUGCAGCCAUGAUAAAACUGACUACAGGGUGAUACUCUGGUACCAGCGGUCACCUGGAGACACAGCUAUGAAACUCAUUGGAUAUUUGUCCCAUACAGAUGUCACAAUGGAAGAGCCAUAUAAAGAGGAUUUUGAUAUGUCUGGAGAUUUGACAGGAAGUACAGCAAAGAAUGGCUCUCUUAUAGUCAACCUUGUAAAACAAGAGCACGGUGCAGUUUACUACUGUGCAGCCAGAGAAGCACACUGACAAAAACCCCCUCUGAACUUUACAAAAACUCUGCACCAUCUUUUCUCAUCAGUGGUUUAUAAUAAGACAUGGAAUAAACUGCUCCCAGACACCUGC